AAAUGAAUAGACGGGGGCCCGCACAAGCGGAGGAACAUGUGGUUUAAUUCGAUGAUACGCGAGGAACCUUACCUGGGCUUAAAUGUAGGUUGCAUUCGGAUGAAAGUCUGAUUUCCUUCGGGACUACCUACAAGGUGCUGCAUGGUUGUCGUCAGCUCGUGCCGUGAGGUGUCGGGUUAAGUCCCAUAACGAGCGCAACCCUCAUUGCCAGUUACCAACACAAUAGGUGGGGACUCUGGCGAAACUGCCGGUGUAAACCGAGAGGAAGGUGGGGAUGACGUCAAAUCAGCACGGCCCUUAUGUCCAGGGCGACACACGUGUUACAAUGGCCAGUACAGAGGGCAGCCACCUGGUGACAGGGCGCUAAUCCCAAAAGCUGGUCUCAGUUCGGAUCGGAGUCUGCAACUCGACUCCGUGAAGCUGGAUUCGCUAGUAAUCGCACAUCAGCCAUGGUGCGGUGAAUACGUUCCCGGGCCUUGUACACACCGCCCGU
rnacentral:rRNA from 1 species